AUUGAACGCUGGCGGCAGGCCUAACACAUGCAAGUCGAGCGGAUGAGAGGAGCUUGCUUCUCGAUUCAGCGGCGGACGGGUGAGUAAUGCCUAGGAAUCUGCCUGGUAGUGGGGGACAACGUUUCGAAAGGAACGCUAAUACCGCAUACGUCCUACGGGAGAAAGCAGGGGACCUUCGGGCCUUGCGCUAUCAGAUGAGCCUAGGUCGGAUUAGCUAGUUGGUGAGGUAAUGGCUCACCAAGGCGACGAUCCGUAACUGGUCUGAGAGGAUGAUCAGUCACACUGGAACUGAGACACGGUCCAGACUCCUACGGGAGGCAGCAGUGGGGAAUAUUGGACAAUGGGCGAAAGCCUGAUCCAGCCAUGCCGCGUGUGUGAAGAAGGUCUUCGGAUUGUAAAGCACUUUAAGUUGGGAGGAAGGGUUGUAGAUUAAUACUCUGCAAUUUUGACGUUACCGACAGAAUAAGCACCGGCUAACUCUGUGCCAGCCGCCGCGGUAAGAC
rnacentral:rRNA from 1 species